UAGCAAUGUAGAUGAGACUGAGAAGCAUUUUGGAGAGACAGAUGGUCAAAGGCUUUCCCAGAGGAAAACGACCAAAGAUGUUUGUGCUCAUACCCACACAUAGACCCCCGUCAGUCGACCACCUGUGUCCAGCCAGCGAGACGUCCACCCCAGAAAGGAGUCACCUGGGUUCGGGACUAUGAAUAAUGUACACCCCUAACCUCAAGAUCUCCACCUCAAGAUCUCUACAUCCUAAUCUCCAGAACCCAUGAAUGUUACUUUUUAUGACAAAAAAGGGCCUUUUGCACAUGUGAUUAAAUUAGGGGUUUUGAGAUGGGGAAAUUACCCUGGAUUAUGGAGGUGGGCCCCAAAUAUAGUCAUUAGGGUGGCCUUAUGUGAAGGGGGCACAGGAGAUGCUCCUGCAGGGAGAGAGAAGACCCAAGACCGCAGGAACAGAAAUCAGAAGUGACGUAGACAUGAAGGAAGGAAUGUUGACAGGCCUGGAAAAGAAGGAACAAGUUCUCCCAGCAGCCCCUGCAGGGAGUAUGGUCCUAUGCAUACCUUGCUUUUGACCCCACGAUGAUGACUUUAGACCUCUGUCUUCCACAACUGUGAAAUAAUAAAUUGGAAGCUAAAACAGUGAAAAAAGGGGGCAUUUUCUUCUCCUAUGUUUCCUUUUAGAGAGAAAGAAUCCCAGGUGAUACACUGUAGCUCUGCUCUGAUGAACUGACUUCUAGUUUCAGGGAGCUUAGGAAAUAGGAGCUGGCCACUUUAGCCUCUCCAAAGCAGAAAGCAAGGUGAGUGUUUUGAGAACAGCAACCAACAGGGCCCCUCGUGGUAGCAGGAAAGCCAUCCAUUCACAAACAGCAGAAAGCGACAGGACCAACUCCAUCUCCCUGGC
rnacentral:lncRNA from 1 species